rnacentral:rRNA from 1 species
AUUGAACGCUGGCGGCAGGCUUAACACAUGCAAGUCGAGCGGAGAGAGGUAGCUUGCUACUGAUCUUAGCGGCGGACGGGUGAGUAAUGCUUAGGAAUCUGCCUAUUAGUGGGGGACAACAUUUCGAAAGGAAUGCUAAUACCGCAUAUGUCCUACGGGAGAAAGCAGGGGAUCUUCGGACCUUGCGCUAAUAGAUGAGCCUAAGUCGGAUUAGCUAGUUGGUGGGGUAAAGGCCUACCAAGGCGACGAUCUGUAGCGGGUCUGAGAGGAUGAUCCGCCACACUGGGACUGAGACACGGCCCAGACUCCUACGGGAGGCAGCAGUGGGGAAUAUUGGACAAUGGGCGGAAGCCUGAUCCAGCCAUGCCGCGUGUGUGAAGAAGGCCUUAUGGUUGUAAAGCACUUUAAGCGAGGAGGAGGCUACUUUAGUUAAUACCUAGAGAUAGUGGACGUUACUAGCAGAAUAAGCACCGGCUAACUCUGUGCCAGCAGCCGCCGCCGUAA